CUGGAUGACCUGGACGGGGAGCUACGCCGGGCCAAGAAGCGUCCGUCGUCGUCGCGAAAAAUGUCCACCGCCUCGUCUUCCUCGCUGUCUCGGCCGCUGUCCACCGCCGAGCCGUCCAAAGUCAGCUCGUCUCGCUCGAUGAUGUCGUGCCGCUCCAUCUCGUCUCCCGGCGAGGCGCCACGUCAACUGGUGGCGCGCGAGUCGGGCUCCACGUGCCACGAGCAGCGCCGCGUCGAGCUCAGUCCGCCGGUGGAGGUGCGCUCCUGACGGCACGUGCCGGGCGCCGCCAACGGCGUCCGAGAGGUGCAAAUCUGACCGGUCACCGGGGUAUGGGGUGCAGAUCUGAUCUGACACGGCGUCCGCGAGGUGCAGCCCUGACCGGUCACCGGGGCAUGGUGCAUGCAGAUCUGAUUAGCCUAACGGCGUGCGUUCCGCAAGGUAAAGAUCUGACUUGGUACGAGGUCACCGUGAACAUAUCUGACCUAGUACGAGGUCACUGUGAACAGAUCGGACCGGUCACUGGAGCAGGGGGUGGGAUUUGACCUGAGGAGGUGCAGAUCUGACCAGAGGAUCUGCACAUCUGAGAGGAAAUGUGACUGCAAAUGUUUUGAUCUACAUUUAUUCCCAGCUCGGUAUGUGAGUUAUUGAUGGUCCGAAAAGAUAAAAUUGUGACCUGACUUGUCAAUGACAAGUUGCGCUCAGUGACCAAGAGCUUGAAAAGCUAAAUGUUUCGUCAUCAUCCGUGGCGACAUAUUAUAUAUUCGGCUGUACGGAAUGGACAGAUGAGUGACAAGGAUUAGAUUGUCUAUGCGUCGAGGUAAAGUGAGUACGGUGUGCUCGGUGUGACGAGAUCAAGGGCAGGCUGCGAAUGUUGCCGUUACCUGAGACAAAGACGCGAAAACUUCCAAAGAAAAAUGAUUAUUAGUGUAAGGUGUAUUUAAAUUACGUCGAAAUUGACUUACCAACGUUCAAUUUGCUAUAAGACUGGGUUGGCUUGAAACGGUGACGGUAGACAGAACCCCAGUAUCCACGACCUUGGGUACCUAAUUGGGAACAAUUGGUGCAAUAUCGAUUGUGAUCAACAUAUCGAUGCACACUGUAAUCAUAUCGAUGUUUUCCCGUGACAGAUUGCGCGUACCUACGGAUCCAUGUACAAUCGUACGAACAUACUAGCGUAUAUCAUUUACUUACGUGAACUGUUGAGUGUUGCUGUUUCGUUUAAGGUACCUACUUGAAGCGUUGAUUUAUCGUCCCGAGUGUGCUAUUCUAAGGAGCACGCCGAGCGAUUUGCUGUUGCCGCGGAGUUGGUCCGCCCCGUACCUAUACGUAACGCUGUUUGUCCCGAGCGUCUGUGCGCGCAUGCACGCAGCACGGCAUGCAUGUAGGUACGGCGGAUGUGUGGUUGUUCUUGUUGCUGUUGGCCCAACGUUUUUGAUGCCGCUACCAGUCUGUAACGGUAAAAUAUGCGCUUGUAUUAGGUGCAAUCAUUCUAUAUGUUCUUACGAAGUACGAACAUGUCGAUAUUUGGCGUAUGGAACGGGCUUAGAUAAGUGUCAGAGAUGUGAAUGCAAUGAGCGAGCCUAUCGUUAAAAAUGCACAACUUGCUGUGCUGCUAUCUGAGUCAUCAUGUCAGUUGCAUUGAUGCAUGGAACGAUUCCAUCUCAGUUUCGAUGUCGGAUGUCGUUUGUCAGAUGUCAGAUGUCGAUGUUUGAAUCCAGCGUUGUUUUCAUCAUUGCUAUCAUUAGGCUAUAGGA